CUUAACUAUAGCGUGUUAUUGAAUCAGUGUUUACACUGUUUAGUAUAGGUGGGAGCCUUUGAAGUUGUCGCGCUAGCGACAAUGGAGGCAACAGUGAAAUACCACCCUGUGUGUAUGUUGAUUCUAACUUGAUUCUAACCUGAUCAAGGACAGUGGCUCGUGGGUAGUUUAACUGGGGCGGUUGCCUCCUAAAUGGUAACGGAGGCGUUUAUUAAGGUAGGCUAGGCGCGGAUGGAAAUCGCGCUGGUAGUGCAAACGCAUAAGCCUGCUUGACUGCAAGAGUGGCGACUCGCGCAGGUGGGAAACCAGAAGUUAGUGAUCCGAUGCGUUCGAGUGGAAGACGCAAAGCCCAACGGAUAAAAGUUA
rnacentral:rRNA from 1 species